CAAAGGUAAGCAAGCAUAAGAGAAGUUAAGCCUAUUCCAAAUGGGUUAUGUUUAUAAAAUGUCGAGGAAAAGCUGAUAUUUUUCAUUUUAUAAUAACUUAUCUUGUCUAUCUAUCUGUCUAUCAACAAAUCUAUCUAUCUAUAGAUAUAGAUAGAUCGAUAGAUAAAACGACGAAUAGAUAGAUAGAUAUUCUUUUUUAAAUUCACAUUUAUUUUGAAAUGUGAAUUAUGGCCAUGUAUGUGUUUUACCAUUUUCUGCUCAAAGUUGACGGUCACUUGCUACGCCCCUGAGUACAAGAUCGAUGCCAAGACAAGCACAACAUGAAAUUUGCAAUAAGACAAUACAGGCUUCGCCACUUGUCGAAAUGUUUUGGGAGGAAUUGCUGUAAAGUUUGUGGCUUUUGCUGCCAUCUCGUGGAUACAACUUCAACAUAGACAAAUUCAACAUUAAUUCCAUGAAACGUGCAAUAAGUGUUGUAUCAUAUUCAGUUGCAUAACAAAAUAAGAUGGAUGAUAGCAUCCAAGCAGAAGCCUGACUUUCUUAAGAUUGUUAUCAAUAAUACACCUGAAUUUAUUUAUUAUAGUGCAUUCUCACUAUGACAUGGUCAGAUUGCACAGGGACAUGGGAAUUGUUUAAUAGAUAAAUCUCAGCUCCUUUCAAACCUUUUUGCUCUACUGUGAGUGGGCUGAAUGAGGAAAGAAAAACUUUGCAUAUAUUUCCUCACAUACAUUAUACAUAUUAUUCUUUCAUACAUCUGAAUAUUGAAUGAGGAUAAAUGCAACCCAAGUUCUCCAUCCACACUGAAACCUGUAGCCUCCAAGUUAACCACCAGUACAUACUACCACCCUAAUCUGUUUAAAAACAAUUAGCUGAACAAAUACUUGUGUGCAUAUAUUUUGAGUAUUGAAACCACAGAAAAGUACUAAUCCCAGAGUAUGAACACAUUUAGUGAGCACAUCUCAGGGGGGUUCUGGUAAUUCAUUUUUCAUACUUACGCUUGAAACGUAAAUCUGAAAAACAACUCAAUGACAAUAUUGUAGGUACCAGCUGAACAAAAGUUUUUUGGGGGUUUUUUGUACCGUAAAAUUGAAUUCAUGUAGAGUGCUGGGAAUAACUAAGUGUCCCUCCUGCUACUUAUUUAUUUAUUUAUUUAUUUAUUUAUUUAUUUAUUUAUUUAUUUAUUUAUUUAUUUAUUUAUUUAUUUAUUUAUUUUUUAAAACAAAAUUUGAUUAUCACAUAAGUCCUAGUGAAGAUAAAAGGUGAUGUGCGGUGGUGGGAUUCACUUUUUCACAUCACUGUACAUUGUAUUUGGAAGUGUAAAUAAAGGAUCGGGCUAGAUUUUUCCAUCAAAAAUAGGUUUGUUAUCUUAUUUGAUUUUUUCCAUCCUAAAACAGUGACAAAAUGUGCCAAUUCUUUCUUCACAAAAUAGUGUAGUGCAAGGUGAGCUCAUACUACUGGAAUUGACUAGUGUCAUUAUUUGUUUUACAGUAGUAUUUUACGUUGUGUUUUAUCAUCCAGAACUUCUUGUCCAUUUUUAACUGCUGUGUAAAUAAAAUGACAGAUCUUUGCCCUCUCUCUCAGAUAUGUCUCAACUCCUACAGUCACAGGAUUAUGAGGUCAUCUAAACACCUUGGGUACUCAAUUCUAGACCAUUCCAGGUUCUCCAGACCGCACGUUGUAUCUGUGUAUGCAUCAAUGCUGUAUGUGUGGCACCAUGUAUGCAAAUAUGAAUGCAGACACUACAAUUCAUAAGCACACUGCAACCGUACAUACUUCGUUCCUUGAACAUUGAUACUGAAUGGAUAUUUUUGCUCAGCAGAGAUAUAACAAUGCUUGACUAUUUUUUUCUUCUCAGAAAGCAACACAAAUUGUAAUUUUCAUGGGUGGUAUCUGUGACAAAUUCUUAGUUGGAGCCUUGUUAACUUUAAGACAGAAAACUCCACACAAAUUCCAACAUAAAUGCAAAGUUUCAUUCUUGUCCCAGCCAAAUAUGGAAAAAUAAAAAUCCAUAAUAAAUGAUUAUAAUUAUUCCCAUUGCUGAAGACCAAAAUUAUGUUUUUAGGAAGCCGGGACAACAGAGCGUGGCCUGUUAUGAUGCCCUUCGAUUUUUUAUUCUAUUAGACUUUCAUUUGGACAGAUCAUAACCUCUGCAUUGAUCGGCCAUAAUCUACAGGAAAAUCACAUCUGCUGUUUUGAUAAACACAAGCCUAUUCCCCAGCUUUACCUUGAUUAUAUUAACCUAGGUCCAAAUCACCUUUGUGUAAUAUAACAGCAGACUUGCUUUACAAUCAUAUUACAGCUGACUGUACAGUUUUAGUAUGAACAACUUUUUAGUUUUAGUGGUGCUAUGUGUUUAAAGCUUUUCAACAUUCUUAAAGUUACGAGGAUUGUAAAUCGGUCAGGUGAGGCAGAAAUUACUGCCGGGAGUCAACAGUUCACCAUGUAUUACAUAUAUGUAAAAAAACAACAUGAUGAGUGAUAUUAAAGGCUAAUAUCAACAUAAAGCAUAUUGACAUUAUGAGUAUGUGCAAACACUCAUCUAAAAAACGAACAUUAAAACAAAUACAACCAUAUCAACAUGCAAAGUGCUGACUCGUUUCACUCGAAAACACACAGGUACAACUCUUGGUAAAGACUGGAUGCUGGACUUGUACACUUUGGACACCAUAUAUAAAAGGUGAUGGCAAGAGGGCUUAUUGGUUACAGGUCUAUGUGACCGGCUGUCUGUGUGGUAUUAUGCUUUCCCUCUGUUUGCCUUGGGUCUUUCUAUGCCUGGUUGUGAACAUGCAGGCUGAGAAACCUCGUCCGACUCCUUGCAAGCCACCACCACUCUUUGAAGGACAAUUUGUGGCUGCCACUAUGAAGUAACAAGCACAGAAGAUGGCUGCCUGCCCAUCGGCACCAAAUAUUACAAAGGGCCAGAGUGGCAUACCACGGUGUAAGUAACUGCUGUGCAUAUGUGUGUGCUGGCACAAUAGUGUUCCUGUGUCCAUCCCUCCAAGCCUACUUGAGUGUUUCUAUUCCGUAAUAGACAUUUGUUGGGUGUAUGGUAGUAAAGAAUGAGCAUCCCAACUGGAGGCACGAUUGCACAGAUCACAGAGAAUAUAUUACAUUUGUCUACCUGAACCAAGAUGUCCAGAGGUCACCACUGAUCACAUGAUUUAAACCUAUAAUGAGGCAGGCUCUUUUGCCACAGGACGCACCGUUCUGAACUGGUCCCAAUUUAUUUCUAGCUUCCAUGAUGUGGUAUAUGGCAUAAAAGACCCAAAUGUCUUUAUCCCUCCCUCCCUCUGCAAGACAAGCCAGGCAGAGAACUCAAAUGAGGUGGACGGCUGAGAUCUACUGUACAUUGUUCAACUGGCAUAAAUGCAAAUAGAAAACUAGCUCAUUUUGAUGAUUUAUCCAUAGUUGUAAGUUAGGUCUCCUACUUAAUGUAUGUUGCUGGCUCCCCAUCAGUCAAGUCCAAUAUAUCUAGACAAUGAAAGAAGGAAACUUCGUUAUGCAUGGGGUCUGUUCAGGAUUUAGGAUAUUUGACAAGGACAUGCUUGGAUCAUGUCCUGUAUUAAAAUAACUAAAACUAUUGUGGUGGCAAAGAGCUAUGCACAGGAUUAAAUAAAAUAAAUCAAAAAAUAAAACGCAUCAAAACAUACUG